CCCUGGUUAGCUCAAUUGGUAGAGCGCUCCACCUGUAAUGGAGAGGUCCCGGGUUCGAUACCCGGACCAGGUG
rfam:Ixodes scapularis strain Wikel colony gcontig_1107729097712, whole genome shotgun sequence.